rnacentral:lncRNA from 1 species
GCUAAUUGAAAAUCUAUUAUUGAUUACCCAUAUAAUUGCAGAUGGGAAACCCUUCUCCAAUUCUCCUUCUUCCCCACGAUUUGCGAAGUGCAAACUCAGAAGUCAAUAUUAUAGCUUGACGACAAGUUGUCGCCGACCUCUCCAAUCUCUAGUCUUACACUCUUACACUGACUAUGAGUGCCUCUCUCUCUCUCUCUCUCUCUCCUUUUUUUAUUUUUGUUCACUUAAUUCAUUCUUGAUUUAUUAUUUAUGAGUUAUGAUUUAUUUUUUAUGAGUUAUGAAAAAUAACAAUAGGAAUAAAAGUGAAAUUGCAGUAUGUGAUAUUUAUGGAUUUUGAAUUUGGAUAGAAUCACUUCUUUAGUUAGCACGAAUUUUGUGUGAAUUGAACGAAGACAACAUUGUAGAGGGUCGAGAGAAUUUAGGGAUUGGAAUUGGCACUAAUUUGGUAGAAUAAGCAACAUGUGGAUUGAUUGAUGAUUUUAACUCAAUAGAUCGAAGAUAAUUGAUUAAGAUGGAGAAAUUCCCGUCAGUUAAUUGAAUUUGCAUAAGGAGUUGAGUGAUUUGAAUAUUUUUACUUAUACUACUAAAUUAAGGAGUUGGAAUCAAAUUGAGAUUGUAUCAUGUAUCUUUUGUGUACUAUUAUUUCAGAUUGUAUUGAAUUGUAUUUUCAUGUAGAUUUUUACGUUUUAGUACAUUUACUUAUAGAUUGAAGAAUUCUUACUAUUAUUUAAUUGAAUAUUAUUAAUAAACAUCCUCAUUAUUAUGGAUGUUGAUUGUCGAUGGUCAACGUUCGUCCUAGCUGAGUUCCAAUCCUGGAUUCGCCACUGUGCAGCAUCACCGAGUUAGACAAACUUUCCUUACUUAUCCAAGCUUUCAACCACCUACCCAUCAUUCCAAGUCCGAACCCGAAGUCAAACUCAACGGUUUCUUGUCCUUAGUUUCCGAUCCAAUGCCAAUUCUAGCGCGGAUGGACAACUUGAAAAUUCUUUGAUAGGAACCCAAUCAUGAGAGGCAGACACGUUGCAGCUACCAUAGGCGUCCCAAUUGCACUCCUGGCACAACCCCAAGUUGUCGAUGACACACCUUACAAAAACAGCUCCAAACUACAGUUGUCACAGACCUGCAAGUGGAGAUGCUUCUUGGAGGGGGCAUUAGCUGUGUGCAAGUGCUAGUCACAUGACAAACACAACUUAGCAGAAUCGGCUUGACAAUAGAGCAUUACCUUGUUAAUCCCAUAAUUACACGCCACAAUUUCACCUAUCAACAAUUGUGACUAUCACUGUAGAAUGAUCUGCAUAACCAAUAGCGCACAAAAAGUCAAAUGCGUAGACAAGGGUUCACAAAUGAACAGUACACGCAUCUUCCUCUCUUUUAAUAGAGUAGUGAUAACGAUAGUUGUACACAACAUUUUCAUUAAAUAUUUAAUUAUCCUUAACCUUCGUUCAUUGUUACAUAUAUAUUAAUAAAUUUUUUCUAUCAUA